ACCCCUCCUCUCUCCUCUUCGCUCUCUCGAUCUCUCUCCUGACUCAGAUAGGCGACGGCGGCUACUGCGACCUCAACGCCCUUCCGUGUUGGCGCGCCUCUGCUGUCCUCGCCCCGGCCUUCCCUUCUCUUCCUCCCUCUCUCCUCGUCUCCCUCUCUCCCGAGGGCAUCGCGGGGGCAGCGGCGGCGGCGGCCCGCUUCCCUCCGGUCAGCACCACUCCCGUGUCGGCGCGCCUCUGCCCUGGCCUUCCCCUUCUCUUCCUCCCUCUCUCCUCGUCUCCUUCUCUCCCGAGGGCGUCGCACGGGUGGCGGUGGCGGCCCAUUUCCCUUCGGUCAGCACCACUUCACGGGAGGUGGUCACUGUUCCUUCUGCGCGUGCUACAGGAAACCCUAGCCGUCGGUUCUGCUCAGGUCAAUUCUCGCUCAUCCAUUCUCGUUUGGUAGGCCUAUGUCUCCUUUGAUUGCUGGUGUCCUAGGAUUAGGUUCCAAGAUCGACGGGUCGAUUUACAAUACCAGGAGAGUGAUCAUCUACCUUGCCUUGUCAUUCGCACACCUUGUGUACAAUUUAUUUUGUUGUGAUAUACUGCCUGCUCUAUCACUGCAACAAAUAGGAGGACAAUCAGCAUGCCUACGUAUUUUGCUGGUACAUGUUUAUUUGGUGCUUACAUAUUUAAGGUCGGUCUUCCUCUCACAAUUAGCCUAUCUGAAAUAACUAUGAUACAUUUUGAUUAUUUCUAAUUUGUGUGCAGGGCCAUGUGGUGGAUUGUUAUUUCAACAUCUAUUUUAGAUUGUAUUUAUUCUUCCUGAAUAUGAAUACCUUAUUGCAAGUUUGCAACAUGGAAUAAUGUUCUUGUUUGAAUAGUGAGCCCCGCUAUUUCAGAUCCUAUUUAUUCUUUCUGAAUAUGAAUACUUAUAUUUUCCAAAGAUGGAAUAAUAUUCUUGUUUGAAUAGUGAGUUCAGCUAUUUUUGAUCCUACUUUUUCUUUGUCAGUGUGAAGACCUAUAUUUUGCAAAGAUGGAAAUAGAUAAAGCAUUGGAUAGGAGCAUUAUCCCCUUCUAUAGAUCAUACAUUAUUCGAAUAUAUAUGUAUCUACAAUGUUCUCUAUUUCGUAAUUUAGUGCCAACUUUUCAGGUUUUCUUUUCAAGGUCAUAGGACCAUGAAGAUAAUAAAGAAGUUGGAACCUAUCUGCUACAUUCUAGCAGCAUGCAAAAGGAAUAAUGAUUUUCUAGAGCUAUGGAUAGUCCUAGAAGACAUUGAUUUUUGGUACACUAAUUUCCACAGCAAUCAAAAGAUAUUUUUGGUUAGAUGACAAUGCAAAGAAUUGAUGAGUUGAUGGACAUUGCACAGUUGCUGGUCCAGUGUGUGCUGAGGUGUGGUGUUCCCAAAAAUGUCAUACAGAUGUCUUGCCAGCACUUACUCCAGUUAUACAUAAUUCUCAAACCUAUGAUUCACCCAAAUAUGUUGCGGACGGUCUAAGCGAUAGAAUGUCCUCACAUGUUGAGACUUUGAGUUUAGGAGAUUUUCGGCAGAUUCAAAAUGUGACGAGCCUACGGAAUGAUGUGGUGUAUGGUUUAAAACCAUCUGAUCGAACGGAUGAAGUUAGCACAGAUCUUGUCGGCUAGUGUUGCUGAAAUCAACAAACUUUUGCAGUUUGUGAGUUAACAGAUCUACUGUUGGUUCCGAGCACAUGCCCUAUUCCCAAAGAUUACAUUGUCAAACACUUUGGUUGUCCGCGAACUACAUACACAGAAUCGUUCAUGUUUUAUCCACUUUACUUCAAGCCCUGUCAAAUCCUCUUGGUACUUCAGAUCAAAAUGUUCAGCCACCAUAUGUAGUGAAACAUGUAAGAAUAAAAUAUCAGCAACCAUUAUGUAUGAACCUAUGUACCUGUUAAACUCAGCUUUUAGAUGGUGCAGCAGCGCUUCACCAUGCUACAUAUUUCUCCAGCGUUUUCUUGUGAACUCCAUAAGACCAUAACCAUGUCAUUUUACACUAAAUUCUUUUUCA